rnacentral:rRNA from 1 species
GCUUGAGUACUGUAGGGGGUAGCGGAACUCCUAGUGUAGGGGUGAAAUUCGUAGAUAUUAGGAGGAACACCGGAGGCGAAAGCGGUUAUCUGGACAGUCACUGACGCUGUUGCACGAAAGCGUGGGGAGCAAACAGGAUUAGAUACCCUGGUAGUCCACGCAGUAAACGAUGA